UCCAGCAGCCAUGUCACCCAGCAACUUACAAUUGGCAGCCCACUGAAGCUAAGCAGGUGUGAGCCUGGUCAGUACCUGGAUGGGAGACCUCCUGGGAAAACUAAGUUUGCUGCCGAAA
rnacentral:rRNA from 1 species